rnacentral:rRNA from 1 species
AUACGGAGGGUGCAAGCGUUAUUCGGAAUCACUGGGCGUAAAGGACGCGUAGGCGGGUUGGCAAGUCAGAUGUGAAAUCCUACAGCUUAACUGUGGAACUGCAUUUGAAACUGCUAACCUAGAGUAUGGGAGGGGGAGAUGGAAUUAGUGGUGUAGGGGUAAAAUCCGUAGAUAUCACUAGGAAUACCGAAAGCGAAGGCGAUCUCCUGGAACAUAACUGACGCUAAGGCGUGAAAGCGUGGGGAGCAAACAGGAUUAGAAACCCCAGUAGUCC